CUCAGACAGACUAAGACAUCUUUGCUGUUUAGACUGAUGUUCUGACAGAGUACCUUAGAGACAACCGGAGAGGCACUGACGUUAUCAGCAAUGAAUCAUCUGUGGGAGAAGCGCUGCAGGAGGAGUUUAAAACAAAAGAACCUAAAACCCAAACCAAAUGCAGGCAAACAAUAGCAAAGCUGUGGAGGAGAGGAGUGUUGGAGAAAACAUGUGGUUUCACAGGACUCUGUCUAUUCUACUAAGAAAAUUCGGGAGAAGGAUUUGUGUGACUUCUCUCAUCUCGUCCUUGCCUGAACACCGGUGGAUUUUUUUCUCUGACCAGCCAAGCUUCAAGCUGUUUCAGCCUUAGAUAAGCUUCCUCCUGAACUCUGCAUAGCUUGCUUGCUACUCUAUAUUACUCAGACCUCUGCUCAAAAGCCAACCCCUCCGAGGACCUUCUGAUUGCCUGAUCUGAAAUCGCCUCCUUGCUCAGUUUCUGUAAUUCUCCACCUGCCACUUUUAUUUUCAUGUCUUCCAGUUCCCAACAAGAAUCAUCUGGUUCAGUACCGCAGCAGUUCUGAGAUUCAGAGAUCCUGCUCAAAGGUCAGUGGACACAGCUGGACCACAGGAAAUGUGAAGGGCUGUGGAUUCACAGGGCAACACGGGGGCAGCGGUGCUCUGGGAUACAGCAAUAUGGG
ensembl:lncRNA